GUGAAUCAUCAAAUUUUUGAACGCAAACUGCACUUUCUGGUAUUCCGGAAAGUAUGCCUGGCUGGGGUGCAGUUAAAUAAAAAUCGGGGUUGUUGCUGCUUUGCGUGGUGACGCGACGGAAUUGAGUUGUCUUACGUUUGGGUAAGUGACUUAAAAUUUUUCAUGAUUUUCGAACAUAUUUAAAUUUCUUACGUACGUUUGAGAUAUCGAAUACUUUAUUAGGUUCGGUCAUCCUCGUGUUUCGCACCUAUAAUUUUUGGUUAAAUGACCUCA
rnacentral:misc_RNA from 1 species